GUCGGACAGCAAAUCUCCUUUUGUCUUUGUUGGAUCAAGGAUAAUUUUGCCAAUUGGUUCGUGUUCUUGAAUGUGUUGCAACGCUUCAGUAAACUGGUCAUCAAAAUAUUGGAAAUAGCAAGAAACUCAAUUUCAAACCUUGCCACAUCUUGCAGAUUUUGUCGAAUACAUUGCGAACGAAGGGACGAUUUUUUUGGAAAUACAACAGGCUACGCAGAUUGAAACCACAAAUGCCCUUGUUCUCCUCAUACAGCUUUAAUGGAGAAAACUUGUCUUGGCCCACCCACUGCGACAAACCAGUAAGGUAUUUAAUUUAAAAAAAUCCCGAUUUUCCACAAGGAAUUGUUUUUAACUCACCGAUUUGGCCAUUUCAAAUAUUUUUUGGAAGAAUGAUGUUUUGUCUCCAAACAGAACGUAUUUGCCCAUAGGUCUCAGCAGGUUAAAGUCGCGUUGGAAAUUAUCAUCAUAAUGCCAGUCUAGUACUAGAUCAACACCGUUAGGUGAAUUCUGGCGAAUCUCUGAGACGUAAUCAGCAUCGUGAACAAUUUUGUGGACCGUUUUGUCAGCCGAUUCGCUUUGUCUCUCUUCGUUGUCCAUAGCGAUUUUGAAAAUUCGGGUAUAGGGUACUGUGCGAGCCAUUUGAGUCACCAUGGUAUCCUAUAAAAAAUAAAGUUAACUUAAGAUUAAAAAAAAAAAGAAUAAAAAUUGCAGAGCUUAAAGUUACCAAUCCACCUGGAAUCGAGUGCAUGAGAACAGCUUCGCCAGGGCUAAGAUUGCCCAUAUGAAAAAGCAGUGUGUGAGCUACGAUUCCAUCAACUGUUAGAGCUACAGCUUCGUGAUAGCUCAUCUUCUCGGGGAUUUUGAAACAAAGAUCCACAUGACAAACAACGUAUUGACUCCAUGCGUUUCGUUCCGGAAGAGCCAUAACUCGAUCCCCCAACUAUAUGACACGCAGGUAAACAGCAAAGGUUUUUAGGCAAACCAAUUUGAUCAAACAAAAGUUACACAAAAUUCUGUGACGUCUUUUCCGAGUGCGACAACUUCGCCAGCUACUUCACUUCCCAUAAUUAAGGGAGGUUCUAAUGAUCGGGCCCAGUUGUCCAACCGACCGAUGCGUGUCAAGACAUCGUGGAAACUAACUCCGCUGCGGAAGGAAAAUAACCGUAAUUGAGGCUCAUUCGGUAGUGGCAUUGGAACUUUUACCGUGUGGAUGUUUUCGCUAAAUCCAAAAGCUAUUAGCUGGACGCACUUAACGUCAUAAGGCACAUCCUGAUUCAAUAACACAGAGAAGUCGCCACCACUAUACUUCACAUGUCGGCGGAUCCUAUUUUUGGCGAGCUUCUGCAUACGACGAUGUUUUUCUUCAUCCCGUCGACGAAGUUCUUGCAUUUCUCCUGACGAAGACGUAACAAACAAAAGUGUUCAGGAUCAAAUCAGAAUUCAUAUUGGCACGACUUACUCUCGACUUCUUCGGAUGCGGCGAAAGAGCUUUCUCGCUGGCUGUUUUCUGGCUCAUCCUCUGUAAAAGAAGAAUGCUCAUCCGAGUCAACAUUCACUGUAUGAGAAUCUGGAGUGCUGGUAGUAUCAAACGACGAAGUUUCAUGCUUUUCUGGUAACAUUUCCACCAAUCAACAGGUAUCUUAAAUAAAGGAAACAAUUUUUGGUCACAUUGUACGGGCCUUGAUGUAUAAAACAACAAAUGAACAGCAUCGAUAACUUA